UCGAGAUCACGUCCAGAGGCUUCGAGGUCGAAACCGAGAGCCAGCGACCCGAUCCCCAAACCCGACCAGCGCUCCACCGUCAGGCCGCCUCCGGCCGGCGCACGAGCACCAUCCUCUUCGUCUCGCUGUCGCCUACGUUAAUGUGGCCUCGGAUCAUACAUGCAGCGACUGUGAACGGAGAAUCGACGAUCCAAAGCUUGAAGAACCUCCGGCGACUCCGGCCAGCGUUUGGGGUGCGUGUGGUUUGAAAAUCACUCCUCUCUCAUCAUGCUCUACACGUUGGUGUACUUAGUUUUUGAAUUAGAUUAAGUUGUGAUGAUUUUCAUUUGUGGGUUACUCUCGGCUCCGGCACGGUUCUCCGACAUCGGUGGUUUUCCGGCACUUGUUGGCUGGGUUUCUGGUUCGACUGCAUCUAUAGGCGAGGACUGACCUUGAUUGAAGUUAAAAGUUUGGAAAUUUCGAGUUGGUGACUGUCAGAUCGUACUUCAUCACUAGUUGAGCUUCGUCGAGUUUCCGGAAAACGUUAGAGGAUCAAAAUAAGGAGGGUGGUGAAGUUUAUAGAGUGAGGUUAAUGAUGACUGUAGGCAGAUGAGUGGGAGUGGGUGUCUCAGGUCCUUGAUGCUGCUCACUGUAAACCAAUGCCACAACCCUAUGUUCUUCCAUCGCUACCGGCUUCAUUUCAGAACCAAACCCAAACCCACCUCAGUUAUCAAUCUUCGCAAGCACUUUCGUGGGAGUGUAGUCAGUUUGAGCUUGGAGGCGGAAUAUAGUAAUGCAGCCAAUGCUCGUGUUUCGGAUGAUUAUCUAGUUCAUCAAAAUGAAGGUGGUCCAAAGGGGAUCGAUUUGUUGCAUUCUAUGGAAGCACGUUGCAUUCGUGCCAAUUCUCAGACAUAUAUUUGGCUUUUAAAAGGGUGCUUGAGUUCUGGGUCUUUGUUACAUGCUAGGAAACUUCACUCUAGGAUUUUGAAGUUGGGGUUUGGUGGAGAAUAUGAAAUAAGUGACCUGUUUGUUGGUGUUUAUCUUGCAAAUGGUGAUUCAUGCAGCGCAGUAAAGGUUUUCGAUGAUCUACCAUAUAGAAGUUUAUUCUCAUGGAAUAACAUAAUUCAUGGGUUUCUUGCAAAGAAGUUGACGGGUCAAGUAUUGGGUUUCUUUUCCCGAAUGGUAGCAGAAAAUGUGCGUCCUGAUGAGACCACGUUUGCAGGAGUUUUAAGGGCGUGUGGUGGUGGUAACGCCAGUAUCCAAUAUGUGGAACAGAUUCAUGCUAGGAUUAUCCGCCAUUGUUUUGGUACUAGUUUACUUGUAUGUAAUCCCUUGAUCGAUUUGUAUGCUAAGAACGGCUCUGUGGAUUCUGCUAAAAAAGUCUUUGAUAAGUUGAAUUUUAGGGAUAGUGUUUCCUGGGUGGCUAUAAUUUCUGGCUUAUCUCGUAAUGGACGAGAAGAAGAAGCUGUUCUCCUAUUCAUCCGGAUGCAUACUUCAGGAAUUUUCCCAACUCCUUAUGUUUUCUCAAGCGUGAUUAGUGCCUGUGCAAAAAUAGAGUUAUUUGAGCUGGGUGAGCAGCUGCAAUGCCUUGUUUUCAAGGGAGGCUUUUCUUGUGAAACAUACGUAUGCAAUGCUCUUGUAACAUUAUAUUCCCGUUCAGGGAACUUCAUAUCUGCUGAACAAGUUUUCAAUACAAUGUGGCAAAGGGAUGGAGUAUCAUAUAACUCAUUGAUAUCUGGGCUAGCUCAGUGUGGAUUUAGUGAUAGAGCUCUGGAAUUGUUCAAGAAAAUGCAGAGUGACUGUAUGGAACCUGACUGUGUAACAAUUGCUAGUCUUUUGAGUGCCUGUGCAUCAGUUGGUUAUCUGUAUAAGGGGAAACAACUCCACUCAUAUGCAAUUAAAGCAGGAAUGUCAUCAGAUAUAAUCCUCGAAGGGUCUCUGCUUGAUCUUUAUGUGAAAUGCUCAGAUUUGCAAACCGCCUAUGAAUUUUUCCUUACAACAGAGACAGAGAAUGUUGUCCUGUGGAAUGUGAUGCUAGUUGCUUAUGGGCAGCAAGAUGACCUGAUCGAAUCGUUUCAUAUUUUUAAACAAAUGCAUGUUGAGGGUAUGAUUCCUAAUCAAUAUACCUAUCCGAGUAUUUUGAGAACCUGUACUUCUGUUGGAGCUCUCAAUUUAGGAGAACAGGUUCAUACCCAAGCCAUAAAAACUGGCUUUCAGUUUAAUGCAUAUGUCUGUAGCGUGCUCAUUGAUAUGUAUGCUAAGCAUGGAAAACUGGAUACUGCCCUUGGAAUACUCAGAAGACUCACUGAAGAUGAUGUUGUUUCGUGGACAGCUAUGAUUGCAGGGUACGCACAGCAUGAUUUGUUUGCUGAAGCUCUUUUACUUUUUGAAGAAAUGCAAAACCGAGGGAUUCGAUCUGACAACAUAGGAUUUUCAAGUGCAAUUAGUUCAUGUGCGGGUAUUCAAGCACUCAAUCAAGGUAGACAGAUUCAUGCUCAGUCAUGCAUAUCUGGUUAUUCGAAUGAUCUUUCCGUUGGCAAUGCACUCGUUACCCUUUAUGCUAGAUGUGGUAGAAUAUGGGAAGCCUACCAAGCAUUUGAGAAAAUUGAUGUGAAAGAUAAUAUAUCAUGGAAUGGACUGAUAUCAGGAUUUGGACAGAGUGGGUACUGUGAGGAAGCACUGCAGGUAUUUUCUCAGAUGCAUCGAGCUGGAGUAGAAGCUAAUUUAUUCACAUUUGGCUCUGCAGUCAGCGCUGCUGCUAAUUUAGCAAAUAUAAAACAAGGAGAGCAGAUUCAUGCCAUGGUGAUAAAAACUGGGAACAAUUCAGAAGCUGAGGUUUCCAAUGCUUUAAUCACAUUAUACUCAAAGUGUGGUAGUGUUGAUGAUGCGAAGAGAGAGUUUAUUGAAAUGCCUGAAAAAAAUGAGAUUUCUUGGAAUGCCAUGAUCACUGGCUAUUCUCAGCAUGGGCAUGGUAUUGAAGCACUACAUCUAUUUGAGCAGAUGAAACAACUUGGUGUGGUGCCAAGCCAUGUCACAUUUGUGGGAGUACUUUCAGCUUGUAGCCAUGUAGGCUUGGUAAGUGAGGGGCUUGCAUACUUUGAAUCCAUGAGCAAAGAGCAUGGACUAGUGCCUAAGCCUGAGCAUUAUGCUUGUGUUGUUGAUCUUCUUAGUCGAGCUGGUUCUUUGAGCCAGGCAAGAAAAUUCAUAACUGAGAUGCCAAUAAAACCAGAUUCAAUGAUUUGGAGGACUCUCUUAAGUGCUUGUAUAGCUAAAAAGAACACAGAAAUUGGGGAGGUUGCUGCCCGUCAUCUUCUAGAACUGGAACCUGAAGACUCAGCAACUUACGUUCUCUUAUCAAACAUGUAUGCAGUGGCAGGAAUGUGGGGUUAUAGGGAUCAGGCAAGGCAAUUAAUGAAGGAAAGGGGUGUGAAGAAAGAGCCUGGCCGCAGUUGGAUUGAGGUAAAGAAUUCGGUUCAUGCAUUCUAUGUUGGUGACCGGCUGCACCCACUUGCCAAUAAGAUAUAUGAAUUCUUAGGGGAUUUGAAUGAGCGGGCAGCUGAAAUUGGUUAUGUUGAGGACCGUAACAACCUCUGGAAUGACAUGGAACAACAGCAUAAAGAUCCAACAGUGUACAUUCAUAGCGAGAAAUUGGCAAUAGCUUUUGGCCUGAUUAGCCUAUCUAAUACGAUUCCCAUACGUGUAAUUAAGAAUCUCCGUGUUUGUAAUGAUUGCCAUAAUUGGAUCAAGCAUACGUCGAAGAUCUCAAAAAGAACUAUCAUAGUACGAGAUGCGUAUCGUUUUCAUCAUUUUAAAGAUGGAGUUUGCUCUUGUAACGAUUACUGGUAAGACUGUUGAAAAGGUUAAUACUUAAUAGAAAAGAAGUCUUGACACUGGGCAUUUGGAAUCACUUCAUUGUAUAUGAUUGUGGCUCUUAUUUGACUUUCCUCUUAUAGAAGACCAUGGACACUGGAACUGCUUCUUAUACAUAGGGUUUCCUAAUGUGUGUAAUGGUUUAUGUUGCUCCAAAUCAUUUUGAUCAUCUAUAAGGAUUUGAUUCUUAUCACAUCAAACUACCAUGGUAAGACUCAGUUUUUGAUAUAUAUAAUUUGAUUUGAUAAGGAUUAUUCACUUCUAUGCUCUUAUGAGUUUGGACAUAGUGAUGAUCGAGUAUAUUUUAUUAAACUGUACAUACUACUGUGGACUUGGAACUCAUCCUGACUGAAGUUUGAAACUUUAAUGUUAUCCUCUGAUCUACUUGUUAGCUUAAACUUUCUGCCAACAUGUUCAUACUUUGAUUGUGUUAAUACUCAUUUGAUUAUCAUUUCUGUGUGUGUGUGAUAGUUAUAUUGAUUCGGGAUGUAAUCCAGAUACUCCGUUCCAUUUGUAGAUUCCAUGCAGAUUAGGUGGAUGAGGGGAGACCUGGAAGUCCUUAUAGGGUCCAAAUGGCAAACGUGUAGUGCAUCAUUUUCAGUCAGGACAUGACUGUUAAUACAUUUCCACAUCCAUUAAACAAUGAAUCAGGACAAGACUGUUGGCAGAAAGUUUCAACGUGGGAAUAGCUGGAACUGGAAGACUCAGCAGCCUACUUCUCUUAUCAAAUAUGUACGCAGUGGCAGGAAUGUGGGGUUGUAGGGAUCAGACAAGGCACAACUAAUGAAGGAAACUUGUGUGAAGAAAGAGCCUGGCCGCAGUUGGAUUUGAGGUUGAGAAUUCAGUUCUUCCAUUCUGUGCUGGCGAACAACCACACUCGCUUGCAGGCAAGGUAUAUCAAUUAUUCGGGGACGGGCAUCUGAGUUUAGUUUUGUACAGGACCAUACAACCUUUGGAAGGAAACAGAAUAACAGCAUAAGGAUCCAACAGUUCUAUAUUCACAGCGAGAAAUUGGCAAUUGCUUUAGGCUUGCUUAGCUUAUUAUACGUGUAAUUAAGAAUCUCCUUUGUAAUGAUUGCCAUAAUUGGAUCAAGUACAUGCCAAUUAUCUCAAAUAGCACUAACCCAAUAUGGGAUGCAAUCAUUUUCAUCAUUUCAAAGGUGGUCUAAAGAUUACUGGUGAAAAGUUCGUCACAGGAAACAAUGUGUUUCAUAAUCUGAUAUCCUAUAAAAGACGAUAACGCAAUCUUGUCUG